GCACCGCAGUCGGGCCGAAAUCUCUUUCAAGACAGUGGCUAGCCACGACACAGUGUUUGUGACAACUCUCUUACUAUUACUAAUUCGGUUCCAAUACCAAUAUUAUAGCAUUUUUCCAAUAGUAUCCACUUACAGUGGAUACUUAUUUUACACUGUCAGCUAAUCACAAUCGUUGAUUAAAAAAUACUCCCUCCGUUUCGGAAUAAAUGAAUUGUUGGGGUAUUUAUUG
rnacentral:lncRNA from 1 species